ACAAAGCAACGCUAUAUCAUUACGUCACACUGUGACUAUACUACAAUUGUUUCUAUGAUAACUUAAGUUACAAAAUACUGUUGUCUAUUACAUCAUUAAACGUUAAUAGUUCGUCAAAUUAGGGGGCUUAAAGACAAAAAUAUAUUAAAUCCACAAUUUUGUUCUUGUAUUAUUAAUAUCUAUUUUCUGGUUAUAAUAUGAUAGGUAUCCACACUCAAGUUCUGGUUGUAAGGUUCCAUUCUAGAUUAAGAAAAAGCUGUUACUUUAACUGUAACUCUUCAUUUACCACUGUCAACUAUAAUAAAAUCUUAAUCUAUGUAACAGGAAUGUGCUGACAAUAUUCUCGAGGACGAUCGACAAGAGAGGGCCGAAGAUGAGCUCUCGAGGAACACGGAUCGAGGGGCGAUUGCGCAACCAGGGUGAUACAGAUCGGCGGGCAUCUCUCGUGGACCUGAAGGUCGACUAAUCGGGUCGACAUGAAAGUGAACCGAGCUCGUCGCUCGUACUCGAGCGGGCGAAGGGACCAGCGUCGAUCGGCGUCGGAAAAAGUCAGGUUACAGGAGUCACUAUACGAAAGGAGCAUCCGCGACAGCAAAAAGACGGAGAACAGAUUAUGCAGAGACAGUGGCGUAACUAAGGGUGUACUGCGUGUGCCAGAUUCGUCUAGCAAGACUUAUCAGUUCAAGAAAGGAUGCAGAUCGAGGACGCGGUAUUUUAAGAAAUAAAACGAGUACUGAACAAAAUUUGAACUCUUCAAGACGUAUUAUAUGCUACUCCUGUGGGAUACUAGCUGAUAAUACAAGAGCAAUAAUUCCUGCACCCCUGGACGCGCCACAGCUACUUUCUCGAUCAGCGUAAAAAGAUCGACGCGAUUCCAUCAUCAAUUGAAUUAUCUUGCACGUCGUCGAAGCGGCGCGUCUCUGUGAUAUCUGCGAUCGCGACACGCGAUUCUCCUUGUAAUUACAUCGGUCGUUCGGCGUCCGACUACCACGGGGUCGUCGGUGGAUGGACGGGAUGAUGGCUCAUGGAGAGCAACGCGUGCUCCGCAACAGCUCGCGAUCCUUGCGCAACCAGAGAUGCGUUGCGUAUCGACCGUACCCGAUUCGCGUAGGUGUGCGAGUCGUGUACGUGCACGAGAGGGGGCCGCUCCAAAUCGUCUCUAGGGUUACCGAUCGGCACGUAACUCGCUGCUUAACGAUCCCCCUCGGGGUCACCGUACUCAUGCUCCGGGGCAGACGCCUCAACUCCGCUUCCCAAUAGUCUGUUACCUCUCGCGGCGAACGAUUUUGCUUCAGAGCGAACUUCAGUUCCUUAUUCGGUAUAUCUUGUUCACUUUUACCCGAUCGAUUCGGUGGUGAUAGACAGAAAGAGAGAGAGGUAGAUCACCUAGUAGCCCUUCGUAACUCAUUGUGCUGUCCAUCGAUGCAAGGACUUCAUUUUUGACCGUUUACGUCGGGCUUCCUAAUGGGAAAGCGGAGACCUACUGCCCUUUUAUGGUUCAGUAAAAGUAUCAGCGGUUGACCAGCAGUCGUUGACACUUCUGAAAGAGAAGGAUGGAAAUAAGAGCUCAGAUAGAGCUUUCUAUCCUUCGCUACCAUUCGCUAUCAUUGAACAGUCAUAGUGUCUGUGUUUCAUGCUAAGUCACUAUUUCAAAACAAUUACGGUAUCGCUAUACUGAUAUUAUACAGAGAUAGGGAUCGCGAGUAUCGUACACUGGAUCGAUUCGGGUGGUAUUUAUAAUCUCUGGAGCGUUGUAGGAUAUGUUUCGUCGCGCCAUCCCAACAGGGGGCUGAACUGUGAGCAAACAUGUUGGGAAAGUCGGUGAAAAACACUCCCGCUUUAACUGAAACUCUGUACGCUGGCUAAUCUGUUAGAGAUAUGUUGAAAUUAGUCGCGUUCACUCUACCUGAAAUUGCGUACGCUGGCUAAUUUGUUGGAGGCGUACGAGGGGGUAAAAACGAUAGUGGUGACGCGUUGGCAAACAAAACGUUGAUUUGUAAACGUAUACACGCAAUCUCUACGAGUAAACUCAUUAAGAGAAGUCUGUCAAAAUGAGGAGAAAGGUGGCUCGGGUACGCUACAGCUUUCUUUCACCCUUAGAGUUCAUAUUGUUUUCGUUCGCGCCUAUCCAAGUUGUAAUGGUUUCGAGCAAAUUGGCAUAGAUUGAAAAAUGACAUCUAGCACGAAUGAAGUUAAUAUAGGAAACUAUCAGCGUGUCAAAUAAUGCGCAUUGGUAGGUUCUAUUAAAUAAAGUGCCACUCAAGAGUUCAACUACUAAUAACGUAAUAAAGGUCGCAAGAGUUCGUAGAGUAGUUCCAUUAUUGACGUUCAUAAUCUGCAUUGAAAGCCCCCGACAUAAUCGCUUUGACACCGUGUCUAGUAUUCGACGCGUUUCGCUUAAAGGGCGCACGAAAUGACUUACGUAAUCGGUCAUACUUUCUUUCUAUGUGGUUCAUAAUAACCGUUUGUGAAAGAAAGUUCCAGAACCGAUGCGGUAAUCCAUCUCACUCCCCCAGCGGGUUAUCUUACUGUGCUCCUCGGUUAUGUAAACCCUUUAAUUUCUAAAAUCGAUUUAUGGAUGCCAGCCCACUGAUUUCUCAUUGGGACAGGACUACUGUCAUG